rnacentral:lncRNA from 10 species
GCUCCUCACCUUUACUGUUUUUCCUAUAUAAUCUGUUCUCCACAGGGUAGCCAGAGUGACUUUAAAAAAAUGCAAAUCUCAUUAUGACUCACCCCUGCUUAUAGCUCAGCAUAGCCUGGCAUCCGUCACCUCUCUGGGUUCAUUACCCUGUUUUCCCUUUGCUCCAGCCACAGAGAACUAUUUGCAGCUCCUGAACAUGCCACAUAUCACAGGUGUUGUUUCCUGUGCCAGGGUCUCUUCCUUUGGUGAAACCCUGCUUCCUCUUCAUGGUCCAGAUUAAAACAUCACUUUCUCUGGGAAACUGUUCUGACUCCAGUUCCUGUUUAAGCCUUCCCCAGCUUCCCCCGCUCUCUUAGAGCAUACACCGCUGUAUUUUGUUGCUUGUUAACAUAGCUGUCACUUCACAGAGGCAUCCUUGUUUACAU